rnacentral:rRNA from 1 species
AGCGAACGCUGGCGGCAGGCCUAACACAUGCAAGUCGAACGAAGUCUUCGGACUUAGUGGCGGACGGGUGAGUAACACGUGGGAACGUACCUUUUGGUUCGGAACAACUCAGGGAAACCUGAGCUAAUACCGGAUGAGCCCUUAGGGGGAAAGAUUUAUCGCCGAAAGAGCGGCCCGCGUUAGAUUAGCUAGUUGGUGAGGUAAAGGCUCACCAAGGCUACGAUCUAUAGCUGGUCUGAGGGGAUGAUCAGCCACACUGGGACUGAGACACGGCCCAGACUACUACGGGAGGCAGCAGUGGGGAAUCUUGCGCAAUGGGCGAAAGCCUGACGCAGCCAUGCCGCGUGAAUGAUGAAGGUCUUAGGAUUGUAAAAUUCUUUUACCAGGGACGAUAAUGACGGUACCUGGAGAAAAAGCCCCGGCUAACUUCGUGCCAGCCGCCGCCGUAAAAC